GGGGUUGUAGCUCACUGGUAGAGUGCUUGCCUAGCAUGCAUGAGGCACUGGGUUCGAUUCUCAGCACCA
rnacentral:tRNA from 1 species